GAUGAACGCUGGCGGCGUGCCUAAUACAUGCAAGUCGAGCGAACGGACGAGAAGCUUGCUUCUCUGAUGUUAGCGGCGGACGGGUGAGUAACACGUGGAUAACCUACCUAUAAGACUGGGAUAACUUCGGGAAACCGUAGCUAAUACCGGAUAAUAUUUUGAACCGCAUGGUUCAAAAGUGAAAGACGGUCUUGCUGUCACUUAUAGAUGGAUCCGCGCUGCAUUAGCUAGUUGGUAUGGUAACGGCUUACCAAGGCAACGAUGCAUAGCCGACCUGAGAGGGUGAUCGGCCACACUGGAACUGAGACACGGUCCAGACUCCUACGGGAGGCAGCAGUAGGGAAUCUUCCGCAAUGGGCGAAAGCCUGACGGAGCAACGCCGCGUGAGUGAUGAAGGUCUUCGGAUCGUAAAACUCUGUUAUUAGGGAAGAACAUAUGUGUAAGUAACUGUGCACAUCUUGACGGUACCUAAUCAGAAAGCCACGGCUAACUACGUG
rnacentral:rRNA from 1 species